rnacentral:rRNA from 1 species
ACAGCAGCCGCCGCGGUAAAACGGAGGGUGCAAGCGUUAAUCGGAAUUACUGGGCGUAAAGCGCACGCAGGCGGUCUGACAAGUCAGAUGUGAAAUCCCCGGGCUUAACCUGGGAACUGCAUUUGAAACUGUCAGGCUGGAGUCUUGUAGAGGGGGGUAGAAUUCCAGGUGUAGCGGUGAAAUGCGUAGAGAUCUGGAGGAAUACCGGUGGCGAAGGCGGCCCCCUGGACAAAGACUGACGCUCAGGUGCGAAAGCGUGGGGAGCAAACAGGAUUAGAUACCCGUGUAGCCCUGUCUCUUAUACA